CAGAUAAUGGAGGCAUAUAAUUUGGACAAGAAAAUUGGCUUCCAGGUGGAAAAAUCAAAAUUAGAAACAGAACUGUUAGAACCCAAAACUAAGAUUUUGUCAAAGAUGUAUAACUUGCUGUUGAAAUGGAAUACUCAGGAUGAAACGGUGAAAUCUGCUAUGAUUAAAUGGGCACAAGAUUUUGGACAUAACAUUAUGUUUGCUGACUGGGAACAGUUGUGGACCACAGGUAUGAAGUUUACGGCAUGUAAUGCUUUAAGAGAGAAUAUUAUGAAAAUGAUAGACAGGUGGUACAUGACCCCAGUCAAGCUUGCAAAAAUUUAUCACUUGCCCGAUAACAAAUGUUGGAAAUGUAAAGAAACUGAAGGUACAUUCUUUCACCUUUGGUGGACGUGCCCAAGGAUUAAGGCUUUCUGGGAAAUGAUAUAUAAUGAACUGAAAAAGGUAUUUAAAUAUAUCUUCUUGAAGAAACCAGAGGCCUUUCUCCUGGGCAUAGUCGGCCAAUUGGUGCCAAAGAAGGAUAGAACCUUUUUUAUGUAUGCCACAACAGCAGCAAGAAUACUCAUUGCAAAGUAUUGGAAGACACAAGAUCUACCCACUCUGGAAGAAUGGCAGAUGAAGCUGAUGGACUAUAUGGAACUGGCAGAAAUGACUGGCAGAAUCCGAGACCAGGGAGAAGAGUCGGUGGAAGAAGAUUGGAAGAAAUUCAAAGACUAUCUACAGAAUUAUUGUAAAAUUAAUGAAUGUUAGAAUGAUGUUGGAUAGAAAUUAAGUGGUUUCCAGCUGUAAUGCUUUAAGGGAUUAUGAAAAAUGGGUUGUUAAUAGGUAAAAAUUUAACGUUACUAUUUUAAGACUAAAGAUUAGGAUAAAUAAAGAGGGUAAGGAUUUGCUGAACCAACAAAUUGAACUGGAAUACAAAAAAUGGAGGUAUGAGGAGGUCCGGGAAACAAGCUAAAGGAAAACAAGUAAUGGAAAAUCUGUGUGUUUUUAAUUAUUUUUAUUUUGUAUUUUUGUUAUUUUUUUCAUUUUUAUUGUAAUACUUUAAAAAAGCUUAAUAAAUAUCUUA